rnacentral:lncRNA from 1 species
AGAGGAAGAGAGAAAUGUUGAGCUUACGAUACUUCACCCACACUGCUUUUUAUGCAGCUGAAAGUAGAAGCUGAUGUAACUUCUGCUUCCUGUCCUUGUACUGUAUAUCCCAUCUCAAUUGCAGUUCUGGCUCUAUUGUUUUUUUUUAAUUUGGGGGUGUGGGUAAGGGUUGGUUUUGUUUGUUCAUUUGGUUUUUAAACCAAUGCCUCACAUUCUGUGAACUGAAGUGAUAGAAAAUUUUUAGAUUUUUUAUGGGUUAGAAUGUUUUGGGGUUUUUUUUCCUGAUGUUUUUUCUUAUCCAACAAGCAUAUUACAGAGUUCCAAAGACUGCAGAGUUCUCAAAAGAUAUGCAGCAGAACUGGCAGUUCCACUUUGGCAUCCAUGAGACUCAUUUAUCUUUAGCCACACUUUGAAUUUUCAUUUUUCUUUUUUUUCUACCACAUACAGAAAAUUUAACCUUCCCAGAGGAGGAUCCAAAUUUAUGCUACAGUGCUCAGCUCCUCUUUUAAGGAGAGAGGAAAUAAUAGAAAAUAAAUGUAAGAAACAAUAAGAAAUGCCCAGUGCUUUAUUCUAUUGGGUUCUAGUCCACCUAUGGAAAUAAUCAUUGAACGUCAUGCGGUCAUAAACACAGGGUGUGCCACAUACAGCGUAGAUUCUAAGGUCUUCUGUGUGAACAGGCUCUUACUGUUCUCUGUUUCUCAGAAUUGAACUGUACAAUGAUCAGGGACACAAAGGGGAAAAGAAAAGAGGAAACCUAAUUGUAGCUGAUGGCAGGUGACUCUAGUGCGAGUGCUGGCUAACAGACCUGACCAGUGUGCCCCUUGAGAGGUAUGCAAGUUUCACUGGAACAUACUAUGAGUCUACCAUGUUAUGAAACGUACAUUUAAGGAUGGUGAGAGCAGUAACAAGAGAAAACAUAGCAAGUUUAUUGGAAGAAUCUGUUCAAGAGGGCUAAUUCUCCCAAACUGAACAUACAUGGAUACUGAAGAGAAACUUCUAGCUCUGUCUGGAGACACAGUAAGAAAUGCAGUGGCCUUGUGCAACAUUGCAAAGAUUCAGACUGGACAGGUUUGCCUGGAAAAGUAAUGAAGGAUUCAGAUCAUCACCUUGUGUGUUGUUCUCUCCACACAACUUGGAUCAUGGAGCUGGAGCUGAGGGAGCAGGUGAGAUCUUGAAUCCAUUGCAAGCAGAGGAAAUGUUGUGAGGAACUUCACUUGGGCCACACAGUAGGUAGCUGCAUUUCAGCCUCUGAAGCAAAGGUCAGGUAUACUUCGGUCUGAUGGAAACAUACCUUCUGAGAAGAUUUUUGUGAGCAAUGUAAAAGCUUUCUUAUCCUGUGAUCCAGCUUCCAGUACUGCAUAUGCACCUUGAUUACUUUUCUGUGCAGUGGAGUCAUUGUGAAUCAUAGAAUCACAGCAUUGCAUCACACUGUGGAAGGAAAGCAGUCAUGAAUGGAUACCUGCAGCAACAUGCAGGAAUCAUGGUAGGGGACAACUACACUGUGCACUCUGGAGCAUAUAUAUACACCUUUAUUGUCCUAACCACUUUCAUACUAUGCACAAACCAAAAUGACUUGAAAUUAAUCAAAUUCUGCAUCUUGAGAGAUCCAACAGUAACUGAAAUGACAAAAUUCAGGUGAUCCAAUAAGCUUGAGAAGCAUAUGACAGUAUACACUACAAGACAAACUUUAAACUACAGGCUAAAUGAUUAUGCAUGAUUCAUAGCGUUCUGGAAGAAAACAAACAAACAAACAAACAAAAAACCUCAGCAUCCUGAACAACUCAAGGAAGUACAUUAGAAACUUUCUAUUUCUCCAUCUCCACUCCACUGGAACAAAGUAUGCUGAAUCGGGCAAGGAUUUGGACAGAAAUAUUACUAAAUUUAAAUGUUUUCUAGAGAAUAGGUGGAGUAGUUUUCUUUUAAUAUAUUAAUUUUUUUUUUAAUAAAACAUUUUAUUUUAAAAUGAUUAAGAGAAAAUGAGAAAAUAGCUUUCCAUUUUGGGGGAAAAAAAUGGAUGAAAGGACAACUACAACUUUAGGAAUUUUUAAAAUACCAUCAGUAACAUCUUGGACUUCAAUACUACAAGCAAGAUAAAUGAGAGUAAACUAACUUUCACAAUAAGUGGUCUCCCAGUGAAAGAUGCCAAGUGAGAGGGAAUGUAAAGGAUGCAAUUUUGAACAAAUUAGAAUACUUUUUUUUCCAAAGAGAUACAAAUCUCAGGCUUCCUGUACUUGUUUGUAUCCUACUCUUUCACACCAAUCUUGUGCUUAAAUGUUGCUUCUAAACAUUAUAUUCAAAAUCUAAUAUGUUUUUAAAAUACUUCUAAUUUCUGACUAUUAUUGUAAACGUUUAUUAUUACAUUUUCAUCAGCAGGAUUUUUGUUAAACUAUAAUCUAUAAUCCUGUUAGUUUUGACUAUUUUCUGUGGCUGAAUUUAUAGGAAUAAGAAUGUUCAUAGUGACUCAAACUCUCAUUUUUCAUUAAGAUAAAGGAACAAGUUAUAGAAUAAAAAGUAAACAGUAACAACAAAAAAUUAAGCCAGGAAAAUAGAUUCUGAUAGCAAUGAAGUGACUCCAAUGAAAAAUUAUUAUUAAAAUAAACUUCAAAUCCUUGAUAUUUAGCUAUUCACAGCAUGUGUUUGAAAUUAACUAAGGAACAACAUAACCAAUGAUUUCCUUAAACAUAAGUGCUGCUAAAAUGAAAUCCAAUACAUAUUUCUUAUAGCAAUGUAAUAUCCCAUUAACUUAACAUUUCUGAGCUGAACAGAAAAAAGUCCGUUCAACUUCACUAAGGAAUUUAAAAUAGUGUUUUUUUUUUCCUCAUCUGUGGUUACAGUUUUGAAGUGUGUAAAUAAAACUUAUUCAAUUCAUAAUGAAACAAAUUACACAUAGUCUUAUAUGGUGACUCUCUACAUCAAGAAGAAAAUAGCGUAAAGAGCUGUUCUUGAAGAAUGGCCACAAGUAAGUCAAAAGCUUAUGGGUGAGAGUUAGAGACGGAAGCAACGAAGAGAGCCAUGUGGUUGGGAUCUACUACAGGUUACCUGAUAAAGUGGAGCCGGUUGAUGAAAGCCUUCUUCCUCCAGCUACAGGAAGUAACACUAGCUCUCAUCCUGCUGGGGGACUUCCACCACCCUGACAUCUGCUGGAAAAGCCAUAUAGCUAGUGGUAGGUAACACAGGAGGCUCCUGGAAUGCAUCAAGAACAACUUCUAGAGCCUAGUGAUAGACAGCUCCCCCAGGGGGAUACAAUACUGGACCUGUUACUCACCAAUCCAAGUGAACUGACUGGUGACAUCAGGAUUGGAAGAUGCCUGCAGGCUGCGGUGACUAUGCACUCAUGGAGUUCACACUCUUGAGAGAUUUGUGAGAGAAAAAUUAAAACCAGGAUGCUCAAUCUCGGAAUGCUCUUCAGGAAGUUAUUUAACAAAAUCCUCUGGGAAUCUGUCCUCAAGGACAAAGGGAGAGGAACAGAGCUGGAAGAUCUUUAAGGAAGCUUUUCUUAGGGCACAAGAGCCCUCCAUCUCCAGGUGUAGGAAGUCAGGAAAGGAAGGCAAAAGUCUUGCACGGCUGAGUGAGACUAACUGGUCAAUCUGGAGAACAAGAAGAAAAUGGACCAGCAGUGGAAGAAGAGACGGGAUCACAAAAUGAUCCAAGGGAUGGAACAAGAACAGGCUGAGAGAGUUAGAGCUGUUUAGUCUAUUACAGAGAUGGCUCUGGGGAUAUGUGACAGGGGCCUUUCAGCAUCUAGAAGACGACUAUAAGAAAGAAGGGGGCAGACUCUUUAGCAGAAUCUGUUGUGAUAGGACAAGGGGAAAUGGUUGCAAACUAGAGAGAAUAUAACAGGGAAGUUUUUUGUGAUAAGGAUACUGAAGCACUAGAACAGGUUGACCAAAGAGGUGGUGGAAGCCCUGACCCCAGAGGCAUUCAAGGAAAGGCUGGAUGGGACCCUGAGGAACCUGAUCUAGCUGUAGAUGGUCCUGUUCACUGCAGGGGAGUUGGACUAGAUGACCUUUAAAGGGUCCCUUCUGUAACACAAUGGUAAGCACAACAGUGACAGAGAGCACCAAGAUUCCAGGCCACAGCAAGUUAGGAUUCACUCAAACACAACAAUGAGCACAAAAAAUAAGGGAAAGACACUGCUUACCUUCAGAAGGCCUCAGAUAUAUAGCAAUCCCCAAAAGCCUUACCUUCAAUGCCAACCCUUAAAUGAGAUCUGGGAAGAGGUGGAUCCUGGCUCCACCCAUUCCGGUCACUCAGGGGCCCUGCAUGUAUCUGAACUGCCCUGGGUUGGCCCUGCCUUCCUCCAGGUGCUCAGUCACUCUUUCAAGCCAUGACUGAGCAUUUUCACUACACCUACACCUUCCAGCACAAAUGAUUGUAUGACUGUGAUUUUAUGAUACACUGAUAACUACUACUAUAAUUGAUCGGCAAUCUCUGAGAAAUACCUACACCCAAUGAAAUCCACAAGCAAAAUAAUAGAGGUGUACUUUUGUUCAAAUUCUUUUGUUUUUUUCCUCUGUUUCCUAAUGGUUAUUCUUAAAGGGAUUUGUGGCAGACUAAUCUAUUUCUCUGAUUUUUAAAUAAACCUACCACAUGAAAUGCUUUGUCCUCUUUUUGAUGCAGAAGGCACAGUUGUGUGGUUCUUUAAAUUCUUUUGCAGUAAUAAGCAUUUUGACAGAGACCAGAUGACUAAGCAAACCAUUCUCUGUCAUUUUUAUGGAUCAUAUGAUAGAAAGUGUGUCGUGUUUAUUUUUUGUCUUUUCUCUUUCUCAGCUACUUAUUGGAAUAUUCAUUACUGUUUCUCAGUUACUGUAUCAAUUAAUAGGAAGAACUGUUGAGAGUCUAUGUAUGUCAAAGACUGACCACAGUCUAACUUGGACUGCAGGAUAUCCUAGUCAUACCACUUACAAGAGAACCGGGUACAUUUUUCUUCUUAAAUAGCAGAAAUUUAUAUGAAUAUGACUUAUGUGAAAAUGAGAUUUUACUAUGGCUAUUUAGUUUCAUGUGUUUUGAAAUAAAUUGACAGUGCUAUAGAAACCAAAAGCAAUGGAAAUUUCUGUGGAAAAACAAAACAAAACAAAACAAAACAAAACAAAAAACUGUUGUGUAUUCCCACUUCUGUAGACAGUGUAAAGAAGUGAGAAGGCAUGGCUGUAUUUGUGCUUCCACAUACAGCUGCCACAGGCUAACAAAUAUCCAGUGAGAAGUGUAUGUUGAAAGAAAUGUACGUGUGCUAAUAUUUAAUCUCAGAAUGGCAUUGCAUUUUUCUUUUUUCUAUUGAUGUUUAUUUUACUCAGUCUCACUAGAGAGUUCUGUUACUGUUUUUAUGUUACAGUUCUUGUGCUUUAGGAAAAAGAAUCUAAAGCCAAGGGGGCUAAUGUUCUUCUAUUUUAGAGCUUUUCUUUUCCUGAAUGCAUGCAUGUAGCUACAAGUAGCAAGAGUGUUUAUUGCAGUUGACUGUGUUUCUAAAAAGCAGAUGCCAAGGGUGCUUUGAACCCUGCUUCUCACUGUUUUCAGACCACAGAACACCGUGCAAGUUAUGAAAUCUGUCAAGGAGCAAUUUCCCUUCUCAGCUUCAUAAUUCCUUUGUUGUGCUUAUGCUGAGUGACAACAUCAAGCUAAAACAGUACAGAUUAACAAGGACAUGUAACUUAAAUAAACUCAGAGUCGUGGAUAGGUUCAGUUGUGUGGUUAUCUUCAACCUAUGGUCUUUUUCAUCUGUUGUUCUCUAGUGUAGAUGUAACGUGCUCCUGGAAAUAAUCUUUAAACUGGCAACCAAACCUUGAGAAUCUGACCAUCACUGCACAAAAAAAAAAAAAAAAAAAUAAAAAAAAUCAGUCCUUAUAUUUUCUUUAUUAUGAAUAAUAAGGACUCUCAUGAACCAAGCUUGGUCCUUGAAUGUGUGUUUUUCUCCCAUGAAAAACACUGUAGCAGAGAGAAGGUAGCAAGACAACAAAAUGGUGAAAAUCACACCUAUAUGGCAAUUUUAUUCCUUUAGUCAUUAAUACUGCAGAACAAGACUGAGAACCAUUAGGCUGUUUCAUCAAGUUCUCACCAUGAGGCUCAACAGAUCUCUUCUGACCAGAAGGAGAAAUGCCACAAGGAAAAUUCACAUGUAGGGUGGUGUAUGAUAAAUUCUGUCAAGGGUCUUACUUUGUUUGAUCAUGUAAUUUAUGUCUAUACAUUAAGAUACCUCAUGACCAAAUGACACUGACAGGCUCAUGACUGUGCUGUGUACACGUUGUCUCCCAUUGCUCUGCAGCAGAUGAACCCAAGGAAGCCCAAGCCCAGGAAGAAGCUGGAAACCCCAAAACAGGACUGAGAAGCAAGCUAAUAACUGUGCAACAGAGGCAAACAGGCAUCUGUCUCUUUAACUGGAUCCUGACCUUCUUUGUUUAGCAAUGCAAACAUAUAAUAAUGGCUUGAACAUGGGGUUGCAGGCCACAUUAGGAUUUGGAAACUAGCUGGCAGCACCUGAUCAAACACAGCCUCAAACCCUGCUUUGGUUUUGCGAAAUCUCCCACCUAAUUAUUUUUAUUUGAGCCUACUCUAGCUCCUGUAGCUUAUACAUGAAAGUCACUUCAUUUAUCUCCCUGUUCAUAGAGAAAAAGAGGAAGCCAAAGAGAUAAUUGUGACUCAGAUAAUUCUGCUGGAGUGGCACAUUUAUAUUUUUUAUUUAAUUUUCAGUAUUACAAUUAAAGUCAUAGCUUCUAAGUAAAUCUGAUAUACUGGUCUUUUCUAACAUAUUUAUUAGCUGACUUACACAUUCCAGUAUCAGUCCCGGGAAAGUACAGAUUUUUUGACUUCUCAGAUUCUGUAUGAACCUAAAGCUUGUGAGAGAACAAAAGGGGAAAACUUUACCACUCUUAUCAGAUGGUAGACUGUCCAUUUGGCAUUCUGCCUGGAAACUUGCAAACUCAAUUAAAUGCACAUAUGGUCCAUAGCAGGCAGAAUCAUUUUUUGCCAACACACGUUCCUCUUAUGGCACUUCCAAACUGUACCCAUGCUAGAUAGCUUUUUCCACAUAGGUGAUUUUUUUCCACUUCUCCAGCAGCAGCAACUCAGCAUAUUGUAUUUUCUGCCCUGGAAGAAUACAGGGAAGAAUGCCAAGAUGAACAUCAGUUUGAACUCCAUGGGGGUGAUUUUGCUAUUGAGGAGUUUUUGUUGAGGAAGACAGGUAUGGAGAUACCUAGAUUUAAUGAGCAGUGCUGGUAGAAUUAAUAAAUCUUUUCAAUACUCCCUGAAGCAGCUGCUCUCUUUUGAAAUAAUGAGCAUAUGGUUUCAUUAUAUUUCAUUGAUUUGAUCCCCUUCAGCUAAAGAAAUAUUUCAGUGGAAUGCAAACAACUUACAGAAUUUCUGCAUAUUUCUCACCCUUUUUAUUUUUCCUGGCUAAACAGAAAGCUGACUAGCAUGUAAAAGGAAGAGCUAGAGGCAGCAUUCCUAUUCCUUAAUAGGGGUUGUAUGAGGGGCAAUGGGGCCUUUGACAAUAAUGAGGACCUGUGUGUGCCUUGAAGCUACAGUGCUUGGGGGUUCCCUUUAAGGUUUGAUUGUGUGGAAGAAACUGUGUGAAAGAAACAAGAUCAAGCUGAACUAACCCUACUUAUAAGACAUAGUCUUUACAUAAAAAUUUUCUCUAGAGGUAGGGGAUAGGCAGAGAGGAAGGUGAGAAUGCAUCAAAAUGGCUUGUUAAACCAACAUGUUCAAACUUCGUAGAAAGAAAAUGUUGCAGGAUAGUUUUAAAUUGUCUUUGAGAACAAACCUUUCAAAGCAAAGAUUUUUUUAUUUUCUCAGUUGCUGAAGACAUCUCCCCACCCAGCUGUUUUGAGGAGAAACUGCAUUCAGUAUUUUAUCCACUCUACAUCUUGCUACUGACAUUAGAAAACCAAAUUCUGAAGUGAAAGCAAAGUGAAAGUCACCUGCAGUUUUUUUUUUUUUUUUUUUUUUUUUUUUUUUUUUUUUUCUGUAAGAUCUUUCUGGAAUAUGAUUUCUGACAGCUGCAAGCUCACAAGCUAUCUUUUUGCAGGUGCCAAAAUAAAUAAGGAAAACUUGCAUAUGUUUUCAUUAGGAAACUGGGUAGAUUUGGCAGUUCUGGGCUCUCUAGGAAGGGAACCAUUCCUGGAAAAGCUGGUGACUGAUAGAGAGGUGCUAUACUGCGCUCUCUCAACAGUGGGGAAGAUGUAGAGCCUGCUUCUGGUUACUUGGCUCUAUUCCUUAUUCAUUGCCACUACAGCAUUCUUCAGUAUACAUACAUUUGUACAUUCCUCCUUUAUAUGCACAUUUGUGUAUGAAUAUAUGUUGGUUUAAAUAUACAUAUGUACAGUAUAUUCAGUAGACUUUAUAGUUUUUGUGAACAGCAAAUCACAUAAUGACAGUUCACAAGAUUGUAUUUCUUCUCCAGAAAAAAACACUGCAAUAUUACAGAAAGUACUUCAGUUUUUUUUUUCUAUAUUUUUCCUUUAAUAAAAUCUGAUUAUUUACAGACAUUUUCCCAUUGUGGUAUUUCAGAAGGAAAACUAUCCAGUUGUUUUGUAAUAUUGUAUUAACUUAAUUUUUCAUCUGAUGCAAAGGCCUAGUAUUGCAUCAUGUAAUUAUCGAUGUUUUGAAGCCAAAACAAAAGAAUUCACUUCCAGAUCUUCACCACAUUUGAACCAAUAAGCUCUAAUUGUCCAUUCAGGCCUAUGAGUUGCAAUGUCAUGAGGAAAUUCAUGGUUGCAUUUUUCAUACACAAGAACUCAGUGGUUUUUAAAAGAGCUUAUAUACUUCAAUUUCAUAAAGUGGUCUGUGUUUUGAUGGAUUGCAAAUUGAUACUAAGAUCAGUCAAAGUAAACAUUUUCUCUCUUACAGCAAGCAAAAUAAACUUGAUUAUCAGAAAAACUGUAACAAUUUCAUCAAAAAUGUUCAGCAAUUAGACAGUUUUAAGGGCAGGGGACAUUAAUUUGUUAAAUGUUCAUCUGCUAUGAUUUCAAAUGAAAUUGCAGAUGAAUGUUUAACAAAUUAAUCUCCCCCGCCCUUAAAAUUUACCAGAAAUAAGACAUUUUCUAUUGAACCAAAUCACAAAACUUGUUUCAGCCUCUGUGGUCCUGCAGAGAUUGCAGUACAGUGAUGCCUGCUCUUUAUUUCUGGCAUGGAAGUAGCAGGGAGACAGAUGAAUGCAGAGCCUCUCUUUUUGUGGCAUAAUCCAUACAUUAUUAAUUUUUGUUGUUGUUGCUAUAAAGCUGUGAAAGAGAUGCUGUUCUGAAUUGAGCAUCACCAUUCCGAUAUGAACAGACGCAGUCCCUGAGCUACCCAGUCAACUAAUUAAUGCUGCAUAAUUUAAUAAAGGAUGGUAAUUAGUCAGUUUUCCCCAUCUUGUUCCCCUCCCUGCUAAUGAUAACAUUAUCGAGCUGAGGCAGGGUGUAGUGAGUGUGUGUGUGUGUAUAGGGAGAUAACUUACAAUGAAGGAGGAUGAGUAAGCAGAUGAAGCUGGAAAUGGUUCAGUCUAUGAUUAUAAAAUCUUCUGAUUUUGUGUUUAGAGAGAACCUCCAGAAUGUCGAAGUGAGAGCAGAAUAAAAAGCAACAAUGAAACUUGUUAAAAGAUGUAGAUGUAUUGUAGAGAAGAAAUAAUUUAAUAUUCCAUGCAACUGUUUAUUAAAUAUUACUUUACUUUUUUUUAUUGUUAUUAUUAUUCUAGUCUUAGUAAGGAGGCAAAGGUUGAAUAUACUUGCAGAAAGAAAGCGAAAGACUCCUCCACAGACUCUCUCUCCCUUGCUACCUCUGAAUGGAUGAUGAAGGAUGUCAAUUACAACAGUAUCAAACUCACUACUAAAGAUAGUCUCUUUAGGCAUUCUUCAGUAGUCCUGCCAUAUGGCACAAGCUUCUCUUCAUUGAAAGGAAGAUGCCAAAAGGUGU